rnacentral:rRNA from 1 species
UUUAUGGAGAGUUUGAUCCUGGCUCAGGAUGAACGCUGGCGGCGUGCCUAAUACAUGCAAGUCGAGCGAACAGAUAAGGAGCUUGCUCCUUUGACGUUAGCGGCGGACGGGUGAGUAACACGUGGAUAACCUACCUAUAAGACUGGGAUAACUUCGGGAAACCGGAGCUAAUACCGGAUAACAUAUUGAACCGCAUGGUUCAAUAGUGAAAGGCGGCUUUGCUGUCACUUAUAGAUGGAUCCGCGCCGUAUUAGCUAGUUGGUAAGGUAACGGCUUACCAAGGCAACGAUACGUAGCCGACCUGAGAGGGUGAUCGGCCACACUGGAACUGAGACACGGUCCAGACUCCUACGGGAGGCAGCAGUAGGGAAUCUUCCGCAAUGGGCGAAAGCCUGACGGAGCAACGCCGCGUGAGUGAUGAAGGUCUUCGGAUCGUAAAACUCUGUUAUCAGGGAAGAACAAAUGUGUAAGUAACUGUGCACAUCUUGACGGUACCUGAUCAGAAAGCCACGGCUAACUACGUGCCAGCAGCCGCGGUAAUACGUAGGUGGCAAGCGUUAUCCGGAAUUAUUGGGCGUAAAGCGCGCGUAGGCGGUUUUUUAAGUCUGAUGUGAAAGCCCACGGCUCAACCGUGGAGGGUCAUUGGAAACUGGAAAACUUGAGUGCAGAAGAGGAAAGUGGAAUUCCAUGUGUAGCGGUGAAAUGCGCAGAGAUAUGGAGGAACACCAGUGGCGAAGGCGACUUUCUGGUCUG